AUUGAACGCUGGCGGCAGGCCUAACACAUGCAAGUCGAGCGAGCGGCGGACGGGUGGGUAAUGUCUGGGAAACUGCCUGAUGGAGGGGGAUAACUACUGGAAAAGGUAGCUAAUACCGCAUACCAUCAGAUGUGCCCCGAUGGGAGUAGCUAGUAGGGGGGGUAACGGCUCACCUAGGGGCCGCUCCCUAGCUGGUCUGAGAGGAUGACCAGCCCAACUGGAACUGAGACACGGUCCAGACUCCUACGGGAGGCAGCAGUGGGGAAUAUUGCACAAUGGGCGCAAGCCUGAUGCAGCCAUGCCGCGUGUGUGAAGAAGGUCUUCGGAUUGUAAAGCACUUUAAGUUGGGAGGCGUUACCAACAGAAUAAGCACCGGCUAACUUCGUGCCAGCAGCCGCGGUAAUAC
rnacentral:rRNA from 1 species